rnacentral:rRNA from 1 species
GAUGAACGCUGGCGGCGUGCCUAAUACAUGCAAGUCGAACGAACAGUCCAGGAGCUUGCUCCUCUGACUUUAUCGGCCGUCGGGUGAUUAACUUGUGUUUAACCUACCUAUACGACUGGGAUAACUUCGCGAAAUCGUAUCUAAUACCGGAUAAUAUAUUGAAUUUCAUUGUUCCAUAGUUAAAUUCGGUUUUUCUUUCACUUAUAGCUUGAUCCGGCCCGCAUUCGCUAGUUGGUAAGGUAACGGCUUACCAACGCAACGAUGCGUAGCCGACCUGAGAGCGAGAUCGGACAGCUGGGAACAGAGAAAGGGCACAGACACCUAGGCGAGGAAGCAGUAGAGAAUCUUACGCGAUGGAGGAAAGCCUGACGGAGCAACGCCGCGGGAGGGAUGAAGGACUUAGGAUGGUAAAACGAUGAAGUUAGGGGAGAAGAAAUGUGUAAGUAACUAUGAACGUAUUGACGGUACCGAAACAGAAAGCCACGGCUAACUACGUG